UACGUAGGGACCAAGCGUUGUUCGGAUUUACUGGGCGUAAAGCGCGCGCAGGCGGUCUUCCAAGUCAGUGGUGAAAGCCUGGAGCUCAACUCCAGAACUGCCAUUGAAACUGUUAGACUUGAGUACGAGAGAGGUGAGUGGAAUUCCCAGUGUAGAGGUGAAAUUCGUAGAUAUUGGGAAGAACACCAGUGGCGAAGGCGGCUCACUGGCUCGUAACUGACGCUCAGGCGCGACAGCGUGGGGAUCAAACAGG
rnacentral:rRNA from 1 species